rnacentral:rRNA from 1 species
AUAUCAAUAAGCGGAGGAAAAGAAACCAACAGGGAUUGCCUCAGUAACGGCGAGUGAAGCGGCAACAGCUCAAAUUUGAAAUCUGGCUCUUUCAGGGUCCGAGUUGUAAUUUGUAGAAGAUGCUUCGGGUGUGGCUCCGGUCUAAGUUCCUUGGAACAGGACGUCAUAGAGGGUGAGAAUCCCGUAUGUGACUGGCUGCCUUCGCCCAUGUGAAGCUCUUUCGACGAGUCGAGUUGUUUGGGAAUGCAGCUCAAAAUGGGUGGUAAAUUUCAUCUAAAGCUAAAUAUUGGCCAGAGACCGAUAGCGCACAAGUAGAGUGAUCGAAAGAUGAAAAGCACUUUGGAAAGAGAGUUAAACAGUAC